UUAAGCGACUAAGCGUACACGGUGGAUGCCCUGGCAGUCAGAGGCGAUGAAGGACGUGCUAAUCUGCGAUAAGCGUCGGUAAGGUGAUAUGAACCGUUAUAACCGGCGAUUUCCGAAUGGGGAAACCCAGUGUGUUUCGACACACUAUCAUUAACUGAAUCCAUAGGUUAAUGAGGCGAACCGGGGGAACUGAAACAUCUAAGUACCCCGAGGAAAAGAAAUCAACCGAGAUUCCCCCAGUAGCGGCGAGCGAACGGGGAGCAGCCCAGAGCCUGAAUCAGUAUGUGUGUUAGUGGAAGCGUCUGGAAAGGCGCGCGAUACAGGGUGACAGCCCCGUACACAAAAAUGCACAUGCUGUGAGCUCGAUGAGUAGGGCGGGACACGUGGUAUCCUGUCUGAAUAUGGGGGGACCAUCCUCCAAGGCUAAAUACUCCUGACUGACCGAUAGUGAACCAGUACCGUGAGGGAAAGGCGAGAAGAACCCCGGCGAGGGGAGUGAAAAAGAACCUGAAACCGUGUACGUACAAGCAGUGGGAGCACGCUUAGGCGUGUGACUGCGUACCUUUUGUAUAAUGGGUCAGCGACUUAUAUUCUGUAGCAAGGUUAACCGAAUAGGGGAGCCGAAGGGAAACCGAGUCUUAACUGGGCGUUAAGUUGCAGGGUAUAGACCCGAAACCCGGUGAUCUAGCCAUGGGCAGGUUGAAGGUUGGGUAACACUAACUGGAGGACCGAACCGACUAAUGUUGAAAAAUUAGCGGAUGACUUGUGGCUGGGGGUGAAAGGCCAAUCAAACCGGGAGAUAGCUGGUUCUCCCCGAAAGCUAUUUAGGUAGCGCCUCGUGAACUCAUCUCCGGGGGUAGAGCACUGUUUCGGCAAGGGGGUCAUCCCGACUUACCAACCCGAUGCAAACUGCGAAUACCGGAGAAUGUUAUCACGGGAGACACACGGCGGGUGCUAACGUCCGUCGUGAAGAGGGAAACAACCCAGACCGCCAGCUAAGGUCCCAAAGUCAUGGUUAAGUGGGAAACGAUGUGGGAAGGCCCAGACAGCCAGGAUGUUGGCUUAGAAGCAGCCAUCAUUUAAAGAAAGCGUAAUAGCUCACUGGUCGAGUCGGCCUGCGCGGAAGAUGUAACGGGGCUAAACCAUGCACCGAAGCUGCGGCAGCGACACUAUGUGUUGUUGGGUAGGGGAGCGUUCUGUAAGCCUGUGAAGGUGUGCUGUGAGGCAUGCUGGAGGUAUCAGAAGUGCGAAUGCUGACAUAAGUAACGAUAAAGCGGGUGAAAAGCCCGCUCGCCGGAAGACCAAGGGUUCCUGUCCAACGUUAAUCGGGGCAGGGUGAGUCGACCCCUAAGGCGAGGCCGAAAGGCGUAGUCGAUGGGAAACAGGUUAAUAUUCCUGUACUUGGUGUUACUGCGAAGGGGGGACGGAGAAGGCUAUGUUGGCCGGGCGACGGUUGUCCCGGUUUAAGCGUGUAGGCUGGUUUUCCAGGCAAAUCCGGAAAAUCAAGGCUGAGGCGUGAUGACGAGGCACUACGGUGCUGAAGCAACAAAUGCCCUGCUUCCAGGAAAAGCCUCUAAGCAUCAGGUAACAUCAAAAUCGUACCCCAAAACCGACACAGGUGGUCAGGUAGAGAAUACCAAGGCGCUUGAGAGAACUCGGGUGAAGGAACUAGGCAAAAAUGGUGCCGUAACUUCGGGAGAAGGCACGCUGAUAUGUAGGUGAAGCGACUUGCUCGUGGAGCUGAAAUCAGUCGAAGAUACCAGCUGGCUGCAACUGUUUAUUAAAACACAGCACUGUGCAAACACGAAAGUGGACGUAUACGGUGUGACGCCUGCCCGGUGCCGGAAGGUUAAUUGAUGGGGUUAGCGCAAGCGAAGCUCUUGAUCGAAGCCCCGGUAAACGGCGGCCGUAACUAUAACGGUCCUAAGGUAGCGAAAUUCCUUGUCGGGUAAGUUCCGACCUGCACGAAUGGCGUAAUGAUGGCCAGGCUGUCUCCACCCGAGACUCAGUGAAAUUGAACUCGCUGUGAAGAUGCAGUGUACCCGCGGCAAGACGGAAAGACCCCGUGAACCUUUACUAUAGCUUGACACUGAACAUUGAGCCUUGAUGUGUAGGAUAGGUGGGAGGCUUUGAAGUGUGGACGCCAGUCUGCAUGGAGCCGACCUUGAAAUACCACCCUUUAAUGUUUGAUGUUCUAACGUUGACCCGUAAUCCGGGUUGCGGACAGUGUCUGGUGGGUAGUUUGACUGGGGCGGUCUCCUCCUAAAGAGUAACGGAGGAGCACGAAGGUUGGCUAAUCCUGGUCGGACAUCAGGAGGUUAGUGCAAUGGCAUAAGCCAGCUUGACUGCGAGCGUGACGGCGCGAGCAGGUGCGAAAGCAGGUCAUAGUGAUCCGGUGGUUCUGAAUGGAAGGGCCAUCGCUCAACGGAUAAAAGGUACUCCGGGGAUAACAGGCUGAUACCGCCCAAGAGUUCAUAUCGACGGCGGUGUUUGGCACCUCGAUGUCGGCUCAUCACAUCCUGGGGCUGAAGUAGGUCCCAAGGGUAUGGCUGUUCGCCAUUUAAAGUGGUACGCGAGCUGGGUUUAGAACGUCGUGAGACAGUUCGGUCCCUAUCUGCCGUGGGCGCUGGAGAACUGAGGGGGGCUGCUCCUAGUACGAGAGGACCGGAGUGGACGCAUCACUGGUGUUCGGGUUGUCAUGCCAAUGGCACUGCCCGGUAGCUAAAUGCGGAAGAGAUAAGUGCUGAAAGCAUCUAAGCACGAAACUUGCCCCGAGAUGAGUUCUCCCUGACUCCUUGAGAGUCCUGAAGGAACGUUGAAGACGACGACGUUGAUAGGCCGGGUGUGUAAGCGCAGCGAUGCGUUGAGCUAACCGGUACUAAUGAACCGUGAGGCUUAACCUU
rnacentral:rRNA from 1 species